rnacentral:rRNA from 1 species
AAUGGGCGCAAGCCUGAUGCAGCAACGCCGCGUGAGGGACGACGGCCUUCGGGUUGUAAACNUNUUUUAGCAGGGAAGAAGCGAGAGUGACGGUACCUGCAGAAAAAGCGCCGGCUAACUACGUGCCAGCAGCCGCGGUAAUACGUAGGGCGCAAGCGUUAUCCGGAAUUAUUGGGCGUAAAGAGCUCGUAGGCGGUUUGUCGCGUCUGCUGUGAAAUCCCGAGGCUCAACCUCGGGUCUGCAGUGGGUACGGGCAGACUAGAGUGCGGUAGGGGAGAUUGGAAUUCCUGGUGUAGCGGUGGAAUGCGCAGAUAUCAGGAGGAACACCGAUGGCGAAGGCAGAUCUCUGGGCCGUAACUGACGCUGAGGAGCGAAAGGGUGGGGAGCAAACAGGCUUAGAUACCCUGGUAGUCCACCCCGUAAACGUUGGGAACUAGUUGUGGGGUCCAUUCCACGGAUUCCGUGACGCAGCUAACGCAUUAAGUUCCCCGCCUGGGGAGUACGGCCGCAAGGCUAAAACUCAAAGGAAUUGACGGGGACCCGCACAAGCGGCGGAGCAUGCGGAUUAAUUCGAUGCAACGCGAAGAACCUUACCAAGGCUUGACAUAUACGAGAACGGGCCAGAAAUGGUCAACUCUUUGGACACUCGUAAACAGGUGGUGCAUGGUUGUCGUCAGCUCGUGUCGUGAGAUGUUGGGUUAAGUCCCGCAACGAGCGCAACCCUCGUUCUAUGUUGCCAGCACGUAAUGGUGGGAACUCAUGGGAUACUGCCGGGGUCAACUCGGAGGAAGGUGGGGAUGACGUCAAAUCAUCAUGCCCCUUAUGUCUUGGGCUUCACGCAUGCUACAAUGGCCGGUACAAAGGGCUGCAAUACCGUAAGGUGGAGCGAAUCCCAAAAAGCCGGUCCCAGUUCGGAUUGAGGUCUGCAACUCGACCUCAUGAAGUCGGAGUCGCUAGUAAUCGCAGAUCAGCAACGCUGCGGUGAAUACGUUCCCGGGUCUUGUACACACCGCCCGUCAAGUCAUGAAAGUCGGUAACACCUGAAGCCGGUGGCCCAACCC